GACGAACGCUGGCGGCGUGCUUAACACAUGCAAGUCGAACGGAAAGGCCCUGCUUUUGUGGGGUGCUCGAGUGGCGAACGGGUGAGUAACACGUGAGUAACCUGCCCUUGACUUUGGGAUAACUUCAGGAAACUGGGGCUAAUACCGGAUAGGAGCUCCUGCUGCAUGGUGGGGGUUGGAAAGUUUCGGCGGUUGGGGAUGGACUCGCGGCUUAUCAGCUUGUUGGUGGGGUAGUGGCUUACCAAGGCUUUGACGGGUAGCCGGCCUGAGAGGGUGACCGGCCACAUUGGGACUGAGAUACGGCCCAGACUCCUACGGGAGGCAGCAGUGGGGAAUAUUGCACAAUGGCCGGAAGCCUGAUGCAGCAACGCCGCGUGCGGGAUGACGGCCUUCGGGUUGUAAACCGCUUUCGCCUGUGACGAAGCGUGAGUGACGGUAAUGGGUAAAGAAGCACCGGCUAACUACGUG
rnacentral:rRNA from 1 species